AAUAUUGGUCAAUGGGCGAAAGCCUGAUCCAGCCAUGCCGCGGGGGUGAAGAAGGUCUUCGGAUUGUAAAGCACUUUAAGUUGGGAGGAAGGGUUGUAGAUUAAUACGCUGCAAUUUUGACUUUACCGACAGUAUAAGCAUCGGCUAACUUCCUACCAUCAGCCGCGGUAAUACAAAGGGUGCAAGCGUUAAUCGGAAUUACUGGGCGUAAAGCGCGCGUAGGUAGUUCGUUAAGUUGGAUGUGAAAGCCCCGGGCUCAACCUGGGAACUGCAUCCAAAACUGGCGAGCUAGAGUACGGUAGAGGGUGGUGGAAUUUCCUGUGUAGCGGUGAAAUGCGUAGAUAUAGGAAGGAACACCAGUGGCGAAGGCGACCACCUGGACUGAUACUGACACUGAGGUGCGAAAGCGUGGGGAGCAAACAGG
rnacentral:rRNA from 1 species